CCAAAUUAUACUGUCAGAAUCGGCUGCAUCGGCUCACCUAGUCUGACUCAGACCCAGCCGAUCUUAAUCGUAGCCGAUCCUAACUUGGGUCACUGGAAGAAUACUUUCAAGUCUUGGCCAUCUCUCGAAAAGCCUACCCUUGAUAAGAGCUGGACCACCUGGUACCAACGCAUAUCGGCUAGUAAGAAAGCCUAGUGGGAUGAGAUUGGGAUCGGCCAAGUGCUUGCUCUCACCAUAGCCAAUUCUGCUAAAAGGAUGAACCUCUGAUGGCUGCCGCCACCUAUUUCUGGUCCAACACCAUCAAUGCCUUCUUAUUUAACUAAGGGCCGAUGACUCUAACUUUGAUCGACAUCAUCAUGAUUACUGGAUUAGAUGUAACUUUAUCGGCUAACCCUAUGAGUAUGAACACCAAGAACCAAUUUGACUUCAAGACCAAAAGCAUAGAAGGGUGGUCUGGUUAUGUAGCAACAUACAUGGGCAAAGGGCCUGUCACUCCUCGGGAGCACGUAGCUUUCUUGCUAAUGUGGCUAGAAAAGUUUCUCUUCUGUGGAUCCAGCUGUGGUCCCACAACCAAUUGGCAAUUUGUAGCCGAAGCCUUAGGAUCAAAGAAACAAUUUCCCUUGGGCAAAAUCCUUCUCGGCUAUCUAUACCAAAUGUUGAACAAUGUAUCGGCUAAGAUAGCCAUCGGCUCAAUAGUUGGAGCAGGUGGACCGUGGUGGCUACUGCAGACCUGGCUAAACCUGGUAGUCAUGAAAGUUGUCAAUCGGCCAUCUAUAACAGAAGCUGAAUUCCCAAGGUUGGAGCCAAUUGUAGAAGACGAUGGAGAAGAAUGCACCCAUCGCAGAUGCAUGUCAUAUGGAGAAUAUGCAUCCACACCAACCGAUGCUGGGGCAAAACUAUCGGCUGAGCUGCUCAAAGAUUGGUUCUGCAGUUUUUAUGAAGGCUUCCAGAAAGAUGUCCGGCUUUGGUUUCUUUAUGAAGACUCAGCAGACCUUGAGCUCUGAUUAGACUUCAGAUUUGAAGACAUCAAUCAUGAAAGAUAUCAAACGUCCAUGGAAGUCUUUACAGCUGCAAUCAGCCCAUGCAUCCUACCUGUCGGUAUUCACCAAGGAAGAAAUAUCCAAGUCUCCUACGAAUUCUAUCACCCUAUAAGUUCAGCUAGACAACUUGGAUUAGGCCAACUCCCAAUCGGCUUAUUCUUUGCUGACAAGAUCCAAUGCCGAGGAGAAAUUUAUUCAACUCUAAUGAAGGAUCGACUGCUUAACCUCCAAGGACCUCCCUUAGGCAGUAUCGACAAUAUUGAGUUAGCAGGAUUCAGGAGCAGGAACUUUGACAGAUGGUGGGGUGAAUGGAAGUUGCAUCUAUUUCAUCAAUCGGCCACAAUGUGCAUGACAGAUCUAUUCCCUGACGUCAUACCCCAGAGUCCUCCCCUCCACAUCAGAGCAAUAGUGGUAGGAACAUUGAAUAUGCCCCAGGUCUGAUUCCUAAUGGAGGCGGAUUGUCUCCCCCUGUCAUCGGCUAUCAUGCCCCCAAGGUCUAAACCCUCCUCCAAGGCGCCAUCAGGGAACCAACCGAUGUAACCAAGAAAAGGAAAAUUAGAUCAUAGGCUGUGAGCACCUUGACUCUAGCUCCAAAGAAAAAGGCCAAGUCUAAGAAAACCAAGCCAACCGACGACCUGCCUGCUUUGGAUUCAUCCAUUGAACAAGCUCUGGAUGAAGAAGAUAUUGAGGAUGAUGUUGAUCAGGCUGCAGCCGAAGUAAGUGAUACUGAAAAAACACCAUCGGCUUCGCCUAAGCAGAUACCUUCAACUCCUUCUGCCCCCACUCACUUCUUCAGAGUAAAACAUCUUUCGUUGCAAACCUUUUUAUAAUCAUUAUUUUUCAGCCAACUACUCAUAGGUUUUGUAGUUGCAGAAGAAGAAAACUGCUAUAAAGAAGAAAUCGGCAGCACCAAUUCUCAAACCAGCUCCACCACCUCCUCCUCCUCCUCCUUCUUCUCCUGUACAACAAUCAUCGAGUGACCGAACUCCAUCGGCCGUGGGGAGUCAUCAUAUUGUGGAAGAAGAACAACCGGCUGCUCCUGCUAUCCCAGUUCUAGCCGAUCUUUUUUCUUUUGAUAUCAAAGAUUAUCUUGAUGAGGCAAAAGAAGAUAUUUCAAGUAAAGCUCUAGCUCCCUUAUCUGACGAUGCAAAGAAAACACUUGAAGAUAUCUCGCGUCGGCUAGAGGCCUCCUCUGGAUAGCUUAGUGGUCGACUGUGGAUCGAUUAGGACACGAUUGCACGAAGUUCAAGCUCUAAUUCCUGAAGAACUGGCCGAUGUCCUAACUCCAGCCGCUUAUCUUGAGCAACAUCAAUUUAAACUAGAAAAAGCCAAGCUAAGAUUAGCCGAACGCCGUGAGCGCAAGGAGAUUGAAGCCACAAUCCAAGUCAAUCGGCAGCUUGUGCAUGAAGAAAAAGUCAAAUUCGAUCAGCUAUCCGAAGGUCCGAUCAAAUCCAAUAUCGAUCGGCUUGAAGCCCGCAAGAUCGAUCUCUUGGCACAGCUUGAAGAAUGCAAUGCUGAAUUGGAUAUGGAGCACAAAAAGCUAGCCGAUCUCCCAAAAUCUGUCGAAGAGCAAAAAGCAAGGCUCAAAUCGGCUAUCAAGAAUGUUGCUGACCUAACCAAGUCCCUGAAGAUCAUUUCUGGAACUGAUGCUCAGGAUGCUCAAGCCAUUGAAGAAGUCGAACAAAUUAGGCAAAGAGAUAUUUCGGCUAUCCAGCAGUACUUGUCUCAAUAACUUUUGUGUAAUAGGACUUGGAAAUUCUUGUAAUCGGUUAAGAUACCUUAAUACCCUAUUGUUUUAACAAUCCUUUGUGCCGAUUAACAUAACUUCUAAUUUUCA